rnacentral:rRNA from 1 species
AUUGAACGCUGGCGGAAUGCUUUACACAUGCAAGUCGAACGGCAGCACGGGGGCAACCCUGGUGGCGAGUGGCGAACGGGUGAGUAAUACAUCGGAACGUGCCCAGUCGUGGGGGAUAACUACGCGAAAGCGUGGCUAAUACCGCAUACGAUCUACGGAUGAAAGCGGGGGACCGCAAGGCCUCGCGCGAUUGGAGCGGCCGAUGGCAGAUUAGGUAGUUGGUGGGGUAAAGGCCUACCAAGCCGACGAUCUGUAGCUGGUCUGAGAGGACGACCAGCCACACUGGGACUGAGACACGGCCCAGACUCCUACGGGAGGCAGCAGUGGGGAAUUUUGGACAAUGGGCGCAAGCCUGAUCCAGCCAUUCCGCGUGCAGGAUGAAGGCCCUCGGGUUGUAAACUGCUUUUGUACGGAACGAAACGGUGCUCUCUAAUACAGGGCGCUAAUGACGGUACCGUAAGAAUAAGCACCGGCUAACUACGUG